rnacentral:ncRNA from 1 species
AUUCAUAUAUCCGAAUAAAAAGUGAAAAGGGAAUCAGGUGUAAAUCCUGAACAGACCCCGCUGCUGUAAGCUUCUCUGAUGUUAUUGGUACUGCUUGAUCCACUGUUUAUGCACAACGGGAAGGACAACCAAUAAUGAAGCAAGUCAGAAGACCUGCCUGAUGUAU